rnacentral:lncRNA from 1 species
UGAGAUUAAAGUUUGUUUCACUAUUAUAUCUUUUCAUGAUCCAUAAUCUGAAAAAUUCCGUAGGGUCAGCAGUGCAACUGUUUGAUCAUGAAAGAAGAAUAAUGGGAAAAGAAAGUAGCCUAUCUACAUCAGCACAGAUAAAAUCACAUUGGCUGGCUGAUAUUUGUACAAUACAAGAAAGGUAGUAUCCAUUAGUAGACUUCCACAUUCCAUUUCUCUCCUUUUUUCAACUGCUUUUUGUAAUCUAUCCAGUCAAUACCUAUAAAAUCAGAACAAGAACAGAUUAUUGCCUAAGCUUUUAUAGAUGUCAUUGCCCUAGAAUGUGCAAAACAAAAAGCAACUGUUGAGCAUAACUACUCUCUCCCGUUUUAACAGCUCACUAAGUUCACUCUCCAUUUCUAUUGUUAUGCACCAUACCUGUUUCACCCACCCGUAAAAUUGUAUGAAGUCAGGGUAGUGGCAAAUGAACACCGACUAGAGAUACUUACAUAUUGAGCAUCCUAAACCGGAAAGGGAAUGAGCAAAAUUAAUACCACACUGCUUUUCUUUUCGUAUUAUUCCUCCUAACGCUUCUAACUUAAGCAUGGGAGAUUAUUAUUUGUUUUGCGUAAUGAGGCGACCAACUUCAGCGAAAAUUGCAUCAGCGCUACUAUGGAAAUAUAGGGUACUAAAAUUACCUUCUUUAGCAGCCAAUGAACACAUUAUAUCAUCAAUUCCCUUUUCCAUGCCCUUGAGUCCACACAUGUACACAUAUGUGUUGUCUUUCUUGAGCAAUUCCCAUAGUUCUUCAGCAUAUUGAGCCAUCCGAGUCUGGAUGUACAUUUUCUCACCUUUCUCAUUUGUUUGUU